rnacentral:rRNA from 1 species
AACGCUAGCUACAGGCUUAACACAUGCAAGUCGAGGGGCAGCAUGGUCUUAGCUUGCUAAGGCCGAUGGCGACCGGCGCACGGGUGAGUAACGCGUAUCCAACCUGCCUUACACUCUUGGACAGCCUUCUGAAAGGGAGAUUAAUACAAGAUGUUAUCAUGAGUAAGCAUUUUCGCAUGAUUAAAGGUUUACCGGUGUAAGAUGGGGAUGCGUUCCAUUAGAUAGUAGGCGGGGUAACGGCCCACCUAGUCUUCGAUGGAUAGGGGUUCUGAGAGGAAGGUCCCCCACAUUGGAACUGAGACACGGUCCAAACUCCUACGGGAGGCAGCAGUGAGGAAUAUUGGUCAAUGGACGAGAGUCUGAACCAGCCAAGUAGCGUGAAGGAUGAAGGUUCUAUGGAUUGUAAACUUCUUUUAUACGGGAAUAAACGAAUCCACGUGUGGAUUUUUGCAUGUACCGUAUGAAUAAGGAUCGGCUAACUCCGUGCCAGCAGCCGCGGUAAUACGGAGGAUCCGAGCGUUAUCCGGAUUUAUUGGGUUUAAAGGGAGCGUAGAUGGGUUGUUAAGUCAGUUGUGAAAGUUUGCGGCUCAACCGUAAAAUUGCAAUUGAUACUGGCAGUCUUGAGUACAGUUGAGGUAGGCGGAAUUCGUGGUGUAGCGGUGAAAUG